GGGACUCUUCAAUUCCUUAAUUGUUUGUUUUCUAAUUACCUUUUCUAUAUUUCACUCAUCACAAGCUCAAGAUUCUCCUCAAGAUUAUCUUAACGCUCACAAUGAAGCUCGUAGACAAAUUGGGGUCGGCUCUAUGACAUGGGACAAUAAGCUAGAGGCCUUUGCCCAAAAUUAUGCCAAUAAAAGAAUUGGGGAUUGCCGGAUGCAGCACUCCAGUGGCCCUUACGGCGAAAACCUAGCUGUUGGCUACCCUCAGCUCCAUGCUGCUGGUGCCGUGAAAAUGUGGGUCAAUGAGAAUCAAUGGUACAAUUAUAAUACAAAUACUUGUGCACCAGAAAAAGUAUGUGGACACUAUACUCAGGUUGUGUGGCAAAACUCGGUACGUCUUGGUUGUGCUAGGGUACGUUGCAACAACGGAUCGUAUUUUAUAAUUUGCAAUUAUGAUCCACCAGGUAACUGGAGAGGAAAACGUCCCUAUGGUGAUCUUGAAGAACAACAACUGGCCUUUGAUUCCAAGUUGGAACUUCCCAGUGAUGUCUAAGAGUAAAUAAAAUCAUGAAUAAUGCUUAAUUCACGUGUUAAUGAAAAUAAAACCCAGUACUAUUUGCUAUAUAUGUUGGAUGUUAUCUUACUAGCUCAGUUGGAUAAUUAUCCAAUGGUGCAGAUCUAGUGACUGGUUAACCUAGGGGAAAUAUGUUGUCUACAUUGAUAUUCAUAUGGACCCUUGCAUGUUGUUUAAUUUAAUCCAAUCACUUUAUAUAUGAGUAUUUUGUCUACUUUAUUUUAUUCAUGUUCCUAUUUUACAACUUUGGCACUAUGGGGUGUGGGUUGUAUUUUCUAGUUUAAAUCUAUAUACGGACAAUAUACUAUUUUUUUACACACUAUUAAUUAAGUCAUCAAGAAAUAAUUCAUAACAACAAAUAAAUUAAUAUAACCUCGAAAAUCUGCUACAACAUCUGAGCAUGUUAAAUACUCUGAUAAAUUAAAAUUAUUUUUUCGUACACUAACAUAAUGUGUGCAAGUUAAAUAGGUAAUUUUGACCGUUGUACUAAUUCACAAGCCUAUUUUUGUUAAUUGUUUUAUAUACAUUUCUAAGUGUUCUAUCUUGAUAUGAUAUAAUAUUUUUUGGACCGCUACUCCUACUUUUCGGGUGUGCAUGGUGUAAACGCAACAACAACAACAACAAAUCCAGUGUAUUCUCAUAAAGUGAGGUCUAGGGAGGGUAAAAUGUACGUAGUCCAUGUCACUACCUCCGAAGAAGUAGAGAGGCUGUUUCCGAUAGACCCUCGGCUUAGGCUAAAGAAUAGUACACAAGGUCGUAGUGAAACAUGAAGCAGGAUGGAUGACAUAACGUAAAUAAGGAAUAAGCAAUAAUAAAAUAGAUAUCAUAGAUAUAUGAAAUAAGAGAAAUAUGAGUAAUUGAAAAAAAGAAAAAAGAGAUAGGACACCCACCUUGUAGUAAUACACACCCACAGACCAAAGACACCAACCACACAAACCCUACUAACUAGGGGCUCCUACUAAUGGACACAAUCCUAUGCUUACUAACCCAGUUACACAAGAUCUCUACUAACAUCUUGCUACAACCCACACACUCACAAUAGCCUUCUAUCCUUAUCCGCAACCUCCACAGCUUCCUAUCUAGGGUCAUGUCCUCAGUAAGCUGAAGCUGCUCCAUGUCAUGUCUAAUUAUCUAUCUCCAGUAUUUUUUCGGCCUACCUCUACUCCUUAUAAAGUCAUCAAAAGCUAACCUCUCGCAUCUACGAACUGGGGCAUCCGUGCCCCUCCUCAUCACAUGUCCAAACUAUUUCAGCCUUUCUUCUCGCAACUUGUCCUCCACUGAAGCCACUCCCAUCUUCUCCCUGAUAGUCUCAUUCCUAACUUUAUCCCCUCUAGUAAGUCCACACAUCCAACACAACAUUCUCAUUUUCGCCACCAUCAAUCGUUGAAUGUGGGAGUUUUUGACUGGCAAACACUCCGCUCCAUAUAGCAUGGCCGGCCGGACUGCCACUCUGUAGAAUUUGCCUUUAAGCUUAAGGGGAACCUUCUUAUCGUACAACACCCUUCAUCCAACCUGCUCUAAUACGUUUAGAGACAUCCUCAUUAAUCUUGCCAUUCCCCUGAAUUAUAGAUCCAAGAUACUUAAAACUAUCUCUCUUACAAAUAUUCUAGAAUCCAACCUCUCCACCACUUCUUCCUUCUGACUCGAGUCACUAAACUUGCAUUCCAUAUAUUCCGUCUUCGACCUACUCAACCUAAAAUCCUCAAAUUCAAGGGUUUGUCUCCAAACCUUCAGUCUUUUAUUCACACCUUUCCGUGUCUCAUCAAUCAACACUACAUCAUCUGCAAAUAACAUACACCAAGGCACCUCACCUUGAAUACUCCGCAUCAAUACGUUCAUCACCAAAGCAAACAAAAACGGGCUAAGAGUCGAUCCCUUAUGCAAUCCUAUCUCGAUCGAAAAAUGCCCUGAGUCUUCUCCUAGCGUCCUCACUCAGGUCUUUCCUCUAUCAUACAUGUCAUUAAUAGCUAUGAUGUACGCCAUCGGGAUCUCUCUCACCUCCAAGCCUCUCCAAAGAACCUCCUUAAGGACUUCGUCAUACGCUUUCUCCAGGUCAAUGAACACCAUGUGCAAAUCCCUCUUCCUCUUCCUAUACUGCUCCACAAUCUCCUCACCAGGUGGAUUGCCUCUGUCGUUGAGUAACCAAGCAUAAAACCAAACUGGUUCUCUAAAAUAGACACGAACCUCGUCAAUCACCGCUCAACCAGCCUAUCCCAAAUUUUCAUAGUGUGACUCAAUUGUUUAAUACCCAUAUAGUUGUUGCAACUCUGAAUCUGACCAUUGUUUUUAUAUAACGGAAUCAUCGUACUCCAUCUCCAAGCCUCAGGCAUUCUCGUAGUCUUGAAAAUGUCAUUAAACAAAUCAGUCAGCCACCUUAAACCUGCUACACCUGUAUAUACUUCCAAAAAUCCAUCGAUAUCUCGUCAGGCCCCGUUGCUCUACCCCUCCGCAUCCUACGAAUAGCCUCUCUGACCUCCUCAACCUUAAAACAUCUAUAGUAACUGAAGUCACGGCUCCCCUUCGAGCGCUCCAUCUCCCCUAACUCAAUGCCUCUGUUUCUCUUCUCAUUCAAAAGUCUAUGAAAAUACUUCUGCCACCUCUUCUUAAUGUGAACAUCCUCCACCAAAACUCUACCAUCCUCUCCUUUAAUGCACUUCACUUGAUCGAGGUCACGACCUUUCCUCUCCCUAGCCUUAGCUAGCCUAUACAACCUUUUUCCCCCUCCUUUCUCUUUUAACCCCGCAUACAAGCACUCAAACGUUGCUGUCUUAGUAGUCGUAACUGCUACUUUAGGCUUCUUUCGUGCUACUUUUUAAACCUCCCUACUCAUCCGCUUCUCCUCUUCAUCUUUACUCUCAAUCAACUUAACAUACGCCCCCUUCUUAAUCUCCACUUUCUUCUUAACUUCUUCAUUCCACCACCAGUCCCCCAUAUACCGACCUGCCCGACCCUUCGAAAUACCCAACACCUCUCUAGCCGUCUUCGUGAUGCAACUGGCAGCCUUAUCCCUCAUACCAUCCACGUCCCCCAUUCUUGCCAACUUCUCCCCUAUCUCCUAUGCACUAACCGACGUCAAGCUACCCCACCUAAUUCUGGUUUGACCCUCUUUGGCUCUACUCUUCCUGCUCCUCUUAAUAAUCAAGUCCAUCACUAAAAGUCUCUGCUGGGUCGAAAGGUGCUCACUUGAAAUGACUUUACAGUCCUUACACAAAACCCUAUCUUCUUCCCUAAGCAGCAGAAAGUUAAUCUGAGUCUUGGCUAACGCGCUUCCGAAGGUAAUUAGAUGAUCCUCCUUCUUCGGAAAGCUCGAAUUCACAACCACCAGCCCAAAAGCCCUCGCAAAAUCCAACAGAGGAACCCCCUUACCAUUUCUAUCGCUUAAACCAAAACCUUCAUGCACAUCGUCAUAACCUCGUAACACCCCAACACGGUGUAAAUGCAGUGUUGUACGAUAACUUUCAAAACACACAGGAAAUAUAAAGAGCACAUGUACACUAAAUAAGUCUGAUGCGAUGAGCUAACUGCGUUGGUGGGUAAUUGAUCCCUUGACUGGCCCCCCUAAUAGAUAGGAUACAUACAUACAUACAUAUAUAUAUAUAUAAAUAAUUAUUAUAUUAUAAUAUUAUAAUAUAUUAAAAGUGUAAAUACCCUUAGAAAAGUGAUUUGAACUUUUUGUCCUUCAUUAAAAGACUUUCCUUUAGACAAAACUGUCUUUUCACUAUUUUUUAAUUUAUUAUUUAAUUAUUUUUUACUAUAUUAACUAGACUUCCUAAAACAUAUGGGGACUCCUAAAACAUAUGGUAGGAGAAUUAAUUAAUAUUUUUCUUUCUACCAGACUUCCUAAAUUAUAUGGGACUCCUUAAAUAUAUAGUAAGAGAAUUGAUUAAUAUUUUUCUUUCUACUGUUCAAUUAGAAAAAUACUCCUAAAAUAGUACUCUAUUAAGGAAAUACUUCUAAAAAUAUUGAGAUGUACGUUAAACUAGAAAACAAACUGAUUAUCCCAUUGGGAGAAUAUAAUUGAUGUUCAUCUAACUUGAUUCGAUUGCAUGUCUAGAUUAGUGGAUUCUUGAUUUUCUAACCCCCAACUUCUUCACUAUUUUUGUCAGUAUAAUAAAAUUCAACAUGUGUGUAUAUAUACAUCUUCUCUUUUUUCAUUCAAAAUUAUUCUUUCGGGUCAAAAUUUUAGCUCAGACAAGAAUUAGUUGGAUCAAAAUCGAAGUUUUGUAAUCACUAUUAUAUAUAUAUUUUUUAUAGUUUACAGGUUGUUGGUUGGCUUUCAAAAAUUUCUUGUGUAAAGGUUAUGUUUAAUUGUAUUGUUUUGAUAUCUUUAUUAUCUUAUUGUUUUAUUUUAAUUUACAAAUGCUAGAUCACUACUAAAAAAAAAGAGGAAAUCCGACCACAAAAACCUACUACAAGUGGUCAGUUUUUCUCAUUUUCCGACCACAAAACCGACCAAAAUUUUUGAUCGAAAAAGUAGUGGUAGCUUUUUUAAAAACCGACCACAAGUGGUAGGUUUUUUAAAAAUAUAUAUAUUCAUUUUAAAAAUUUAUUAUUAUUUUAUUUAAAUGAAAAAAAAAAUUUAGGAAAAAAUAAACCGACCACAAUUGGUCAAUGUUUUGCAAAGAAAAAUAUNNNNNNNNNNNNNNNNNNNNNNNNNNNNNNNNNNNNNNNNNNNNNNNNNNNNNNNNNNNNNNNNNNNNNNNNNNNNNNNNNNNNNNNNNNNNNNNNNNNNNNNNNNNNNNNNNNNNNNNNNNNNNNNNNNNNNNNNNNNNNNNNNNNNNNNNNNNNNNNNNNNNNNNNNNNNNNNNNNNNNNNNNNNNNNNNNNNNNNNNNNNNNNNNNNNNNNNNNNNNNNNNNNNNNNNNNNNNNUAUAUAUAUAUAUAUAUAUAUAUAUAUAGAAAAAUCGACCACUUAUGUUCAGUUUUUUUGGGAAUUUAAAAAAAUAAUAAAAUUGAAAACCCAAAUACUGCAUGCAACCACAACAGAUAUAUAGAGCAGUAACCAAAAUGAAAAUACAACAACAAAAAAAAAAUAGAAAUUUUCAAAAGUGUACAACACAUACAAAAUAACCAACAAAAGUGAAUAUGAAAAUACUACAACAAUAGUUUCAAACAACAAAAUGUCUAAAUUUAAAGUACAAGACAUACAAAAAUCACAAACUAACAGUCAUCAUCAUUGAAUUCGUCCUCGUCUUCCAUAUCAUCAUCCGUGCUGAAAUCAUCCAGGGGGCCUAGACCUUUUGCAGCCCGAAUUGCAUCACCAGGACAGGAGGAAUAACCCCCCAGUCUGAAUGAAAGAACUGAACUGCUGAUGCAGGAUCCUGAUUUGUGAUGCCGUUGCCUCCUCCGUCUUCUUCUGCCUCACACUCUGUUCAACAUAACUCUGUCUCUGUUUAGCAAGCUCUCUGGUGAGUUGAGAAAUCGUAUUUUGUAGUCUUACAAUGGUUUCUGCAUCAACCGAAGAGAUAGAGUAUGCAGGGCCGGACGAACUCCUAAUAUUAUCGCCAAAAUAUUCAGUGUGGCAUCCGUAGAAAUGUCCUCUAUUUGCAAGACCUGAAGCUUUUGUCCAUACCUCAUUCCGUAAUGCUGGGGUAUUGGGUCACCCUGACUUUCAGGAGGCAAACUACUACGAUACUCACUAAGAAGACGCCUAAAUUCGUCCUAUAUAUAUUCAAGGUAAAUUUAAUACUAACAGUAAAAAAUACUAAAAUUGUUAUAGUUGAAUAAUAUCAACUUUGAGAAAAAAAUUCAUAAAUACAAAAUUUAUUUCUUACGUGGAUAAACUUUGCACGAGGUUCAACCCAGACAUCUUCAUCAUUCGGGUUCAAUUUCUUUCUCAGAUGAGUCACCUCGAAAACCUCACCAGUUGCUAGUUUCCUACCCAUUUCUUUUUUCUGCAUAUGAAAAAAUUAUCAAUGUUCAAAUAAUAAAAAAAAUUAAAUAGAAAUAAAGAAUUAAACUGCAAAAGUUACAUACCAAUUUUUCUUUCACUGCAAGAGUACUUCUAGCACCUGUAGUAUGUAGGGAACCACCCUUGGAUGAUGCCCGGACUCCCUUUCCUUUUUCCCUCAACAAUUGGUAUUCUGGGCUAUUCCAGUGGCGCUGAUACAGUGGCCAUAAGGGUUCAGGAAUCCACUUAGGUUUUACUGAUUUCUUUCGAGCAUAGUCCAAUAGAUCUUUAAAUCUGCCUCUACAUCUUUUAAAAAAGUUCCUCUUUAUAAGAAAUUCAUUUGCAGCAUCCCACCAGUAAAAUCUCUACAACCAAAAUAUAAUAUUCAAUCUUGUGUUCUCACAAAUUGUUAAUAAGUAAGCGAUAAGUUAAAUCCUUACCUUAAAUUCUUCUAACAUUCUAUCCCUGUCAAGUUCUGGAACCUUUUGACAGCUGAUCCAGUAGCCGUUGAAGUGCUGACUAAUGCAUAUUCGCGCCGUUUUUCCAACUCCAGCAUCCGGCUUAAACCUACAACACAAGAUCAAACGAUAAUUUCAUCGGGAACAAUAAAAUAGUAAUGGAGAAAAUGAGUAACGUUAUUAUAUUUAGAAAUCUUACCCUCUCGCAACUGGAACCAUAUAAAUCCUUGCAGAAUCAUCUCUGUCACCUAACUGCCUAAUAAGCGAUGAUGAAUGCACUGGCAUAUGAAAAUAUUUUAAAACUGUGGUAAAUAUUUUAAUAUCAAAAUAUCGUCCUAAACAUAGUAAGCCAAGUAUUUAUUCUCAGGCGGAGGUGAUUUAAUCACCUUAUUUUUUUUUCCCAACUAAUCCUAAUUUUAUAUCAUUUGUUAGGUGUUAUGAUCCUCUUAUUUAAUUAAGAUUGAAUUAUUUUUAACAUUUUUUUGUUUUCGCAAAAAAAUACUUUUAAAAUCAUUUUUAAUGUUCAUGUAUUAACAACAAUUAUUCAUAAAUUUAACAAGUUUUAUAUGAUCGUGCAAAGAGCGAUUAAGUUACCUAGUUAUUGAAUAAAUAUAUUUGAGUGAAGCAUAUUUUUCAUUGAAAGAGAAAUAAUUCUAGGUGAAAAUUAUUUUCCUUAUAGCUAUUUUAAUUUUAAAUUUCGACCACUAUUGCUAACGUCAACAUUCAAAUUAAACAUCAUUUGGAUGUUAUUGUCAAAAUGUAAUAUCUAAAAUUCUCAUCGUAAUACUUUCCAAUUUGCUAAUAUUAUUAUCAAUUCUAAAAAAUUACAACGAUGCAAUAUUUUAGUAAAAGUUAUAAAUAUUAGCAGCAUUGGUUAAGUUAAUAAUUUAUCUGAUUAUUUACGGCAAAAAAAAAAAAAACUUAAUUAACAAACUGUGGCAGCUAAAUAUUUGCCCUCCAUAACAUAAUUCUUCUAUCAAAUGAAUCCAACGAUAUAUUCUUUCCUACUUUUCCCUAAUAAUUAUCUCCCAUAAUUAAGUAACAAACUAAUCCAAUCAAUCCGAUAAUCAUGCUUAAUUAAGCUCUCAAUUGGUACUCAAACCUUCCAUAUUUUCUCUCUCAAUAAUUGACUUCCUGGAUAAUUAUGGUGUGUUGCAGAUUUAAUUAGAAAUAUUAAAUUUUAUAAGAAUUAUAUUUAUUGAAUUAAUUAUAUAUUAAUAAAAUAUAUAGAAAAUUUAUUAGAAAUAUUUAAUUAUAUAAAUUGUUUGGUAAUAUAAUGGUACAAUUUAUAUUUGUGUGUCUUAAUGUAAUUGUAUAAAAGGUACAACAAUGGAAUUAAUUAUAUAUUUCGUAAUAAUCCGAGUAUAUUUCAAAUUUAAUAAGGAAUAGCUAAUUAAACAAAUCGUAUAAUUCAGAAAGAGUAUGUUUUUUCAAGAUAAGAAAUCAACGACAUCCAUAGUAGAUAAAAUAGAUCGAGGAUACCUACUUCAAUCAUUGACAUUUCAAAUUAAUGGAUUCGUUACAACAACAUUUCAUAAUAGAUAUAUAUGUUUCAAUAAUUAUAAAACGGUUAAAUUUAAUUAUGACGAUCAUUCAUUAUAACAAUUUCAUUUUCUCUCUAAUUGAUUUUUCAUGUUAUAUUUUAUUUAUCUGUGACAACAACAUUCUUCUUAUAACAAUAAUAAUAUUCAUUAUAACAGUAUGCUAGCCUUUUGUAAUAGAUGACCCUUCUAUAAAAAACAUACUCAAAUUUAUGUAACAAUAUUUUAAAAGAAAUAUAUUAUAUAUAAAAUAAAAUAUUAAAAUAUUAAAAUAUUUAUGAUAAUCAUCAUUAAUAUAAUGAAUAUAAAAUAAUUUCAAAUAUGAAUAUUGUUUAAAAGGAAAAAUACUGUAUCUAAAUAGUGUCCAUUAAUUAGGGAACAACUACUUUUGAAUUUAUUUAUGCCUUGUCUUUUCAAAUUUUUAUUAAUGAAUUAUGGAAAUCAAUCGAGAAUAUAAAUUUAACAAGUAUUUAAUAUUUAUUUAUAACAUAACAAGUAUAAAAUCUAAUUUGCAUAGUUUUAUGUAUAAAAGCUAAAUAAAAUUUAAAUGUCAAAUGUCAAUUUAUAUUUAUAAUAUCAACUCACUAAUCAUUAUAACAAUUAUAACACUUUCGGGCAAACAUUAUCACUAUAGAAAAAUUUAAUAAUAUAUUAGUCAUUGAUUUGCUGUAAGGCAGAUAAUUUUGUCACACAUCUUGUUAGCUAGCUCAAUUUGAAUUAAUACAUAAAAAUGACCCUAAACUUGAUACCAAAUUAUAAUUUUGAUCUUAAACUUUGAUAGUGCACAAAUAAGAUCUUUAACUAUUCAAAAUCUGAACAAAUAUGACCUCCGAUUUUACAACCCCUUGUGUGAGUCUCACUCGCGCCUACGUGGAAAGGUAAUCCAAUCACACGGUGCCACAUCGUUAAAAGGCUCACUUGGAGAGAGGUCAUAUUUGUGCAAUUUUAAAUAGUUAAAGGUCAUAUUUGUGCACUAUCAAAGUUUUGCUUUUUGUGUUAAAACGACGUCGUUUUUUUUAUUAUUAAUAUAAUAAUUUUUUUAUUUAUUUCUAUAGAAGCAGCACCUAACUUUUUUUAUUUUAAAAAAUUAUUAUUAUUAUUAUUAUUAUUUUAUUUAUUUCUAUAGCAGCAGCACCUAGCUUUUUUUUAAUUAAAAAAAAACAGCCACUAGCAGGUAUCGAACCCGCACAGUAGGCUAAAGGAAGCUUCCAAGAAGAGCAAAUAAUACCACUAGGCUAUCUAAGCGUCUUGUUUCAUAUGGUUCAACAUUAAUAUACGUACAUAAAUAUACAUUUUCUAUCUUAUAUAUAUACAACGUAAUUUUUUUACCGAGGGGGUUCGGGUGAACCUCAUGGCAACCAUGUAGGUCCGCCCCUCGUUAAUUUAAUAACGUUAAGUUAAUAACAUCGUUUAAUUAUGUUUAUUUGAUAACGUUAAUUUAAUAUACUACUAUUACUAUCCUUGAUAACAUUAAUUUAAUAAUGUUUUAUUAAAACUAUUUUUUUUUUUAUUAUUGGUAUAGUUUCAUCUUUAAUUUAAUAUUUAAAUUAAUAAUAUUUAAAUAUAUUAUAUAACUUAAAUUCGUCUUCUGCUUUAUAAUAUAUUUACAUACCCACUCAAUUUUUUCGUAGGCUGACCCGCCUAAUUAAUAAAUCUUCAAUAUUGCUCUUUUUCCGCAAUGACAAAAGAAAUUAGAUGUCAUUUUCAUCUUUGAGCCGAAAAUAAUGAAAAAAUAAUAGUGAAGAGUCAUUUAAUGGUUAUAUUUGUGCAGUUUUGAAUAGUUAAAUGUCAUAUUUGUGCACUGUCAAAGUUUAGGGUCAUAUUUAUGUAUUAUGCCCUUAGAUUUUAAGCUGGACGCGUUCAAUUUUGCGUGUUGAACACGCGUUUUGCCACGUAGGAUUGGAGGUCAUAUUUGUGUAGUUUUAAAUAGUUAAAGGUCAUGUUUGUGCACUGUCAAAGUUUAAGGUCAAAGUUAUAAUUUGGUGUCAAGUUUAAGAUUAUUUUUAUGUAUUAACUCGUUCAGUUUUCUUGCUUCAACUAUGACAUGUAAGAUUUAUGUUAUCCAAGCUUAGACAUAUAUAAGAAGGUGUUUGAAUUGAUUUAUUUUUAAGUAUUUUAGGUCUUUAAAUAUUUUUUAUUUUUAAAAGUGUUUGACAAAAAUAAAAAAUAUUUUUGAGCAUUUUAUUUUGUAACUAAAAAAUAUUAAAUAAGUCCAAAAUUAAAAACAAAUCACUAUCUACUUUUAACUUUUGGCCUUUAAGUUACUAAAAAAAAAAACGAAUUAUCGAAACAUCCUCCAACUUUAAUGAGUUUGUGAAAAUUCAUUUCCAAGUCAGCGAAAAAAAAAUAUAUUGUGUCCAAAGAAUAAAACGAAAGGGCUGCUAAUGAAAAAUAAUGAUUUAUUAAAGUUGUUCCAGCAAUCACGUAUCAUCGAGAAUGACUAGUCACCACUCACCAGUGACAGUUUUCCCUUCAACAAAUAGUUGCAUGAUAUGACAUGACAUUCAUAUGAACUAUGUUAACAAUUUAUAUUCUUUUCCUCCUUCAACUUGUCCUCCAAAUUAUUUUAGUAUUUAAAUUUAAUUUUAAAUUAUUUAUCUCUAUUAAUAUUUUUACAGUGAAUUAUUUUCACCCCUCAAGAUCGAAUACCACUUUCACAACAGAGAGUAUGUUACACUCGCCUAAACAUCAACGCCACAUUAGAGACACGUCAUUGCCACAUAAGAAGUUUAAUUUUUCUAAAAAAAAGUAAAUUCCCCGCACUUUAUUUUUAUAUAUAUUUUUUUAAAAAAAUAAAAAAUAUAUAUUCACUAUANNNNNNNNNNNNNNNNNNNNNNNNNNNNNNNNNNNNNNNNNNNNNNNAUAUAUAUUAGAUAAAAAAAUCACCCCCACCUCCCAUUUUUUUUUUCUUCACACCUCCCAUCCACCCCGCCCCCUUCCCUACAACGCAGCCCCUUCCCCCUUUCUAUCUUCUUCAAAUCAGCCCACCUCUCCCUCACCUUUAUUUUCUAUCUUCUUCAAACUUAAAGCAUAUUACCAAAUCAAGAAACAACCAAUUCAAGAAACAACAAUUCAAGAAACACCAAUUAUUCCUUCAUCAAACCACCAAUUCAAGAAACUCAAAUUUCUGGCACAACUUUACAACAUCAUCAGAAAACUCCAAUAAUCAAUUAAGACAUCAAUCAUGAAUUCAAUGAACUCAUUUUUUUUUUGUUUUCAAGUUUUUUCGAGCUUUAACAAUGGUGGAUACAAAAUUAAACUAGCAAAAUUCAUACCAAUCAAACUCAUAAUUCAAGUGCAACUUCACACCAUCAUCAGAAAACCCCAAUAAUCAAUUUGAAUACCACCCACAAAUUUGACAAACUCAUUUUUUUGGUCUUCAAGCUUUUUCAAGGUUCAAUAAUGAUGGAUACAAAGGGCAAUCUCAUAAAUCCAACAAUAGUUUUCUUGAAAAAUCACUUAAGUAAUUUAGUUCAACAAUCAUGUAUUGAAAGAAUCUUUUUUUACAAAAAUAUUUUCUAAACCCAUUAAAAUUCAUAACUUUUCACACAUAUUUUUUUUUUUCUUUCUUGAAGAAAUUAAUGAAGAUAAUAGAAGUGAAGAUGGAGAGUUAGAAGAAGGAGAAAAGAAAUUGGGGUGGGCUUUAAGAAGAAAUACAAGAAAACGGGAGUGGGGGGUGAGGGCGGCCUGGGGGAUAUGAAGAAGAUGAAGAUAGGGUGGGGUGAGAGGUAAGGGGUGGGUUUAUAUAUAUAUGUUAAAAAAAGUAGGACCAUAUCAGUUUUAAAAUUAAAAAAGGUUCUUUUAAAAAAGUGGGAUCAUAUCAGUUUUAAAAUUAAAAAAUGUUCUUUUUUUUUCUUUUCUUUUUUUAAAAAUCCACGUCAGCUUGAGGGGUGAAAAUAAUUCACUUUAAAGAUGUUAAGAGGGUUAAAUAAAUGAAAGUUAAGUUUAAGUGUUGAAGUGAGUUUAAAUGACAAGUUUAUCGGGGAAAAAUAUGUCUUUUCUCAUUUAUAUUUGGAAAAAAAUGAAUUUUUGUCCGUGAACUUUUUGACUUUUUUCGUAUUAGCAUCUCAAUUAGUUCAUGUACAUACUGACUCCCUUAUUCAUUCACAAAUGAUUUCAAUUAAGUACAACUCUCUUAUUGGAAAGUGUAUUGCACAUGCCAUGACAUGUCAGUAUUUGUGCUUAAUUGAUAACUAUUUAUGAAUGAAUAAAGAGUUCAAUAGGUACAUGAGCUAAUUGAGGUGUCAAUAUGAAAAAGUCAAAAAGUUAAGGAGCCUGUCUAUGUAUUUUGUCUUUAUAUUUUUUAGUUUCAAUUUAUUUAUUUAUCUAAUUUUAAUUUGAUAUAAAAUUUAAAAAAAUAAAAAGAAAAUUUUAAUUUUAUAAUGUUAAACUAGAAAUAUGAAUAAUGUAUUAAAAUGUAUUUUGACCUUGUGAUCUUAAAAAUAUCAUAUAAAAAUUAGAAAAAAUUUAAAAGUUGUUAAAAAAAAAAGAGACAAGUUUUUAAAACAAAUUAUUAAGGAAAUUACUACAAAUUGAAACUGAGAGAAAUUAAACUCUCAAUUAUAUUCAGUUCCCUUUCACAAAUUGUAGACUAUUCGACUCUUCUUCCCAAUAUAAAACCCACCCAAAUUAUUCCUCGAUUCUCAUCAAUACUCAAAAUGGGACUCUCCAAUUCCGUAAUUGUUUGUUUUCUAAUUACCUUUGCUAUAUUUCACUCGUCACAAGCUCAAGAUUCUCCCCAAGAUUAUCUUAACGCUCACAAUGUAGCUCCUAGACAAGUUGGUGCCGGCCCUAUGACAUGGGACAAUAAGUAGAGGCCUUUGCCCAAAGUUAUGCCAAUCAGAGAAUUGGGGACUGCCGGAUGCAGCACUCCAGUGGCCCUUACGGCGAAAACCUAGCUGCUGGCUACCCUCAGCUCUAUGCUGCUGGAGUCGUGAAAAUGUGGGUCAAUGAGAAUUAAUUGUACAAUUAUAAUACAAAUACUUGUGCACCAGGAAAAGUAUGUGAACACUAUACUCAGGUUGUCUGGCAAAACUCGGUACGUCUUGGUUGUGCUAGGGUACGUUGCAAUGACGGGUGGUAUUUUAUAAUUUGCAAUUAUGAUCCACCAGGUAACUGGUGAGGUAACGUCCCUAUGGUGAUCUUGAAGAACAACAACUGGCCUUCGAUUCCAAGUUGGAACUUCCCAGUGAUGUCUAAGAGUAAAUAAAAUCAUGAAUAAUGCUUAAUUCACGUGUUAAUGAAAAUAAAACCCAGUACUAUUUGCUAUAUCUGUUGGAUGUUAUCUUACUAGCUCAGUUGGAUAAUUAUCCAAUGGUGCAGAUCUGGUGACUUGUUAAUCAAGGGGAAAUAUUUUGUCUACAUUGAUAUUCAUAUGGACCCUUGCAUGUUGUUUAAUUUAAUCUAAUCACUUUUUAUAUGAGUAUUUUGACUCCUUUAUUUGAUUCAUGUUCAUGUUUUACAACUGUUGGCACUAUGGGGUGCGGGUUGUCUUUUCUAGUUUAAAUCUAUAUACGGACAAUAUACUAUUUUUUUACACACUAUUAAUUAAGUCAUCAAGAAAUAAUUCAUAACAACAAAUAAAUUAUUAUAAGGGAUAAUUAUGUAAUUUCGCCAAUAUUAACUCCUAAUUAUCUUAUUUAGCCUAAUUUUAAUUAAUUAUAAUUAAUAGUCUCUUCUUG
rnacentral:lncRNA from 1 species